rnacentral:piRNA from 1 species
UGUGAAGUCCAGGGGCUCA